CCCUUAGAUGUUCUGGGCUGCACGCGUGCUACACUGAUAUUGCCAAUAUGUCAUUCUUAUCCGAAAUGGAUUGGGUAAUCAAGUAAUGAAAUUUCAUGCUUGGAAUCGGUAAUUGCAAUUUUAUCGUGAACGAGGAAUUCCUAGUAAGCACUAGUCAUCAGCUAAUGUUGAUUAUGUCCCUGCCCUUUGUACAAACCGCCCGUCGCUACUACUGAUUGGGUGUUCAAGUGAGAUGCUUAGACCCUUGUUGCAUGGUUCAUUAUUGUGCUCCGAAAGGAAAAAGUUUCAAGCUUGAGUGUCUAGAGGAAGUAAAAGUCGUAACA
rnacentral:rRNA from 1 species